rnacentral:sRNA from 1 species
UACCGUAGCGUUUGGUGGCGGUCAUACCUUUGAGAAAAGAGUAGUUUCUCCCAGGUUUGUCGCCUCGCCUUGAAAAAGGCUCCUUGCCGCGGCUUUUUGAUCUCUGGUGGUACAGCUGCAUCAGUGCACCAGAUACCAUAAAACUGUUUGUGUAGGAGUUACAUCAUGGCUGAGCGCGAAACCGGUACUGUAAAAUGGUUCAACGACACUAAAGGCUUUGGCUUCAUCGAGCGUGACGGCGGUAAAGGCGAUGCUUUCGUGCAUCACUCUGCCAUCAACGCCACUGGCUUCAAAUCCCUGGCCGAAGGUCAGAAAGUGGAGUUCACCGUUGUUGCCGGUCAAAAAGGGGCUGCUUGUGAGAACGUUGUCGCUAUCUAAGCGAUUCCGUUUGCAGCUGCUUUAAAAAAUAAGAAAGGCCACCCCUCCGGGUGGCCUUUUUUU